rnacentral:rRNA from 1 species
GAUGAACGCUGGCGGCGUGCCUAAUACAUGCGAGUCGAGCGAACGGACGAGAAGCUUGCUUCUCUGAUGUUAGCGGCGGACGGGUGAGUAACACGUGGAUAACCUACCUAUAAGACUGGGAUAACUUCGGGAAACCGGAGCUAAUACCGGAUAAUAUUUUGAACCGCAUGGUUCAAAAGUGAAAGACGGUCUUGCUGUCACUUAUAGAUGGAUCCGCGCUGCAUUAGCUAGUUGGUAAGGUAACGGCUUACCAAGGCAACGAUGCAUAGCCGACCUGAGAGGGUGAUCGGCCACACUGGAACUGAGACACGGUCCAGACUCCUACGGGAGGCAGCAGUAGGGAAUCUUCCGCAAUGGGCGAAAGCCUGACGGAGCAACGCCGCGUGAGUGAUGAAGGUCUUCGGAUCGUAAAACUCUGUUAUUAGGGAAGAACAUAUGUGUAAGUAACUGUGCACAUCUUGACGGUACCUAAUCAGAAAGCCACGGCUAACUACGU